rnacentral:rRNA from 1 species
GAUGAACGCUGGCGGCGUGCCUAAUACAUGCAAGUCGAGCGAACAGACGAGGAGCUUGCUCCUCUGACGUUAGCGGCGGACGGGUGAGUAACACGUGGAUAACCUACCUAUAAGACUGGGAUAACUUCGGGAAACCGGAGCUAAUACCGGAUAAUAUAUUGAACCGCAUGGUUCAAUAGUGAAAGACGGUUUUGCUGUCACUUAUAGAUGGAUCCGCGCCGCAUUAGCUAGUUGGUAAGGUAACGGCUUACCAAGGCAACGAUGCGUAGCCGACCUGAGAGGGGGAUCGGCCACACGGGAACUGAGACACGGUCCAGACGCCUACGGGAGGCAGCAGUAGGGAAUCUUCCGCAAUGGGCGAAAGCCUGACGGAGAAACGCCGCGUGAGUGAUGAAGGUCUUCGGAUCGUAAAACUCUGUUAUUAGGGAAGAACAAAUGUGUAAGUAACUAUGCACGUCUUGACGGUACCUAAUCAGAAAGCCACGGCUAACUACGUG